GUCUGUCGACUUGAGUGGAUCUUUUCGAUCCUCCCCUGGACCCAGUCCAUCUGGGAUCGAGGCUAGCCCAAUCCGACUCCGAGCCUCAUCCUCAUCUGGCAGUGCAGCCACCAGUUUUUCAUGUAUGAAGUCUGAGUUAACAAAGGUGACCUUGAUCCCAUGAUCAGAAAUCUGGUACGCAAACUUCAUAAGGGGAGUAACAUGUCCUUGUGCUGGGAAUGGAAUAAUCAGCACAUGAGGUCGCCUGCCCAUGGUUGCUGCCAACAUGUCCACACACUUCUGCUUCGUCUGAUCCGAAGUUUCAGGAUUAAUACCGAUUCUCUUUAUUAGCCUGAGCCCUCUAUUGUGUGAAUCGUAUACCUAUUUGCAAAAAUUUUAGCUGCAGCCCAUCUCUUACACAUGAACUUCAUACAUUAUCUGAAAGAUAUGGUGUUGUGGCUCAAAUUCUUUGGCACUUGGCUUUUAUCUCCUAUCUAUUCUGUCUUUAUCAAGUGUCUUGCGUGUCUCUCCCGUUACUUUGGUGUAAUUUUAAAGCUAUAUUGCACUGAUAAACUUUUGGUUUCUACAUUACACACUCCAUAUAUGCAUUAAACUUUUUGUUAGUGCAGUCAUUGGAUUGUAGCCAUUUUUUCUACUUGGUUUUUCCACCAAGUUAUUGAUACCCUAUGGAUUUAUUCUCAAGUGCUUCAAGGUAUAUUAUCAGAAGUUACCAUUGGUUGUUUGCUUUGUCUUUUAUCUAGCUAGAACCUCAUAUGUAGCUAGCCUCUUUUUGUUGUUGCAUGAUUGGUUUGAGCUCUUCCUUCUUAUCCCAUGUGUUUGUUGACCAAGCUUGUAUUGAUGUUGAACCUGAUUGAUGCUAGUAGCAAGGGAAAUGAAAAUUUGGACAAUGGCUAGAUUUCACCUUAAUAAUAUCACUCUCAAAUGCUUCUACAUAAUUCCCAAAUACUUUAGCAUAUAUUCUAGCUAGGGAAGUGAUCUCUAGUUUUUUUCUGUCCUUUAUGGAGGGUCUUAAGCAGCCAGCCUCGUUUUCUAGUUGUAUGGCUUUUAGUUCUUGGUUCUUUUCCCAUAUAUUGGUCUUUUUCUCUAUCUUAUAUGCCUUCAAAUGAUCCCAUUUUCCUCUGGGUUCAGCCCUAAACCCACCUUUGUACAUCACAGAUACGGAAGUGGUCGCCAAGGUAAGGACAAACCUUCACCAUUCAGUUCCAAGCAGAGUGGAUUAAGAAACCAGCAAGGACAAACCCUUGGCAUUGAUUCACUCAGCCGGUGGCAGAGCCAAGAAUUUUUCUCAGAACAAGCAUUACAAUAACCCUGGAUGAAUUUUAGAAAUUGCUGAAAAUGAGUAACUUUAGACUUUAGUCAUGAAUAAAUAUAACAUAUCAAAUUAAAAAUUAAAAUUAGAUUUUAUUAACUUACUAGUUAAAAAUUGAAAUUUAAAAAGAAAAUUUUCAAAAAGUUAAAAAAUGGUAAGAAAAUAAGAAAUCUUACUAGUUAUUUCUCAAUAAUUUUAAUAAUCUCUUCCUAGUAAAAAGGUUCUUUAAAAAAUUUAUUUUUUUCCCAAACAGCUACAUAUAAAUGAGUUGGAAGUAAUAAAAUAUUUUAUUAAUAUUUUCCUAUGAUAUAGUAAGAUGUUAAAAUUCCAAGUAAAAUAUAAAUAGUUAGUUAGAGUUUGAUAUUUAUUAUUAUGUAUUAAGGUACCCUAUUCUAACAAAAUUCUAGAGCACCCAAGAGGUAUUGUUUAGAAGAUUUACUAGUAAUAAUUGGAUUUCUGAUUUCAAUCUUCAUAAAGUAAUAGCAAGAACCAAAACUAAUAAAAAGAACUUGAUUAUAAGGUUUUGGUUAACAAUUUUUUUUUCCAAAUAUUAUGAGGUCUAUGCUACAUAUUUUUUGAGAUGACAUUUAAAACCAUUCAAGUACAAUUGAAUUUGUUUGGGUGAAUAAUAACAUUAAAGGAUGUACUUCGAGUUUAUUGUAUGAUGAAACCCUUUUGAGCAGAAAAAAAAAAAAACCAAUUUUGCAUAUGAGUGUAUGCUUGAGACUAUUUCUGUAUAUAUUUGUCAUUUUUUAUUUGUGUUAUUGGUUGAGCUCGCCAGGGUUUUCAAAGUAUAAAUACACCUUAUUUUGUCAAAUAUUUUAAAUACUUGUUUCAUGUAAACUUAUGUAUUUGCUCUUUGGUAUUUAAUGAAUUUGCUUUGUUAGUGUCAAAUUGGGUUUGUGUUUUAUAUUUGUUGAGUUUUUAGUAGAAUGUAAGAGUGAUAUAUUUAUAGAGCUUAAAGUAAACUCUAUGGGUGAUUUUCUGUGUAAUACAUAUCUUUUGUGCGGUUGGAAUUCAUGCAUGUUAAUAUCUAAAUAUCUCAUAUUAAUUCAAGAAAUAUUUUUGUGAAAAAAUUGAACUUUAAGACAUAAAAUCAUUAUUACCUAUGCACCCUCCAUAAAUCUCAAGAAUCAAGAUUCAUACUUUCAAUUGGUAUAGAAGCAUGUUGAAUUUAAAAAAUUAAAAUCUUUUAUUCCUACACAAUCUUGAUUCAUGGAACCACAGUGACCAGAUCAUCAAUGAAAUUUUUAUCAUUGCUUUAUUUGACAAUUUCUGUGGCUAGGAAUACAACUUGAGUAGGUUGGGUUGGGUUGAUGACGAUUUAACAUUUAACACAUUUGGAUAUGGUAGCAUUGGAAAAUAUCUUCAUUGUUUCAGUGCUUCAACAAAGGUUUGGAAAUUCUUGUAAGAAGAUCCACCUUCAAUCACACUUUUUCUAGCCAUUUCCUUCAACUUCUCUGCAUUUGCUUUUAUACCAUCAUCAGAAACCAACUUUUCAAUCUUCUUCUUAAUCUCAUGCCUUGAUAUGAAUCCAUUUUCAUCUGGGUUCAAUUCCAAGCCCACCUUCCAUUUGUCGCAUAUGUAACUCUGGUUAUGGAAUUGAUCUGCAAAGUAGGGCCAGCAUAGGAAGGGGACUCCCAUGCCUAUGCCGUCCAUGGUUGAGUUCCAUCCACAAUGGGAUAAGAAACAGGCAACAGAAGGGUGAGCUAACACCUCUUUUUUUCAUUUUUAAAUCCAAGAUAGAUGCAUUUUGCACGGAAAUGAUGUUGUUUCGCUUGGGUAAAAAUCUCCCUUUUCAAGCCCUAACCCCUCUCCCCUUUGCCCCCAUGCCCAACCGUUCCUUGCCCUCUCCAGGAGCCUUCCUCAGCCCCCCACCUUCGGCACCUCUAGCCAGCAGGCUUGCGCCGACACAGACGCCAAUGGAAGACAGUGACGCCGAUGGACGAAUGCGACGUCGACGAUUUACUAUUUAAAUAUUUAUCAUUUGAUUUAUCUAAUUAUUUUAUUUGAUAUUUGUAUCAUUUUUAAUUUCUAAUUUUUUUAAAUUUUGAUUUUUAAAUAUGGGAUUUUAUAUUUAUGAUUUUAAUUUUUAAAUUUAUGAAUUUAAAUUUCUUAAUUUCGAUUUAAAUCAUUUGAAAAUAAAUUUUUGGUUUAAAAAUAAGUUUUUGGUUUAAAAAUAAUUUAAAUUUUUUUAAUUUUAAAAUAAAUAUAUGAUUUUCAAAUAAAUUCUGAUUUUAUAAAUUUGUGAUUUUAUAUUUAUGAAUUUAAAUUUCUGAAUUUGAUUUGAAUCAUCUUAUUCAUUUAAGAAUAAAUUUUUUAUUUUAAAAUAAGUUUUUGAUUUAAAAAUAAAUUUUAAAUUUUAUGAUCUUAAAAUAAAUAUCUAAUUUUCAAAUAUAUUUUCUAUUAUCAAACAUAUUUUUGACUUUUAAAUAAAUAUAUGAUUUUAUAAAAAAAUUAUGAUUUUUUAAAAUUAUAAUGUUUUGAAUUUAUGUUUUCAAUUAUCAAUUGAAUUUAUGAUAUUAUUAUUAUUUUUUAUCAUUUUUUUAUUUUAAUAAUAUAUGUACACUAUAUAUUAUAUAUUUAUGAUGUCACCUAUUCAAUCGCGGUUCAACACCAUUUCAAUUCAUGAUGCAUGAACCAAUAACUUUUCUAAUUUAAAGACUGAUCAAAAUAUUGAUUAAUAUUAUAUAAAUUGAAUUUAUAACAUUUUUAUAAAUUAAAAUAUAAAAAUUAUUUUUAAAAAUAACUUGCCAAACGCCCCUAUUUUUAUAAAAUACUAAAAAUUUAUUUUUUGCUCUUUUAACUUAAUAACAGUUUUUAAAGACAAACAUUACAAAACAUGGCUAAACGGCCCUUAGCUCCUAGGUUUCAGCAAAAGAUUCAAAACAACUCCAUCUUGUGGCCUCCGUCAACAUGUUUUGUUGCCCAAUUUUUGUGUAAGCUCUAAAUAAUGCUGCUUUCGAUUUUCAAUUGCUCUGUUCGUGCACUUUUUUUUAUAUGUUGCCAUGUAGACAACAGUAUAGUUCUUGAUCCCCCAAUCGUACAUAAUUCUUUGCUCCGCUACUAAUGCAUUACAUCAAAAUCUGUCUUUAAUUAACUCUACCCAUGAUUUUUGUUCACUAAGAUCACAUACCAACCCCUGCACUUGCAUACACAGCAUGAAUGCACUCGCUUUUAUUGAGAGAAUGGUUUCACACAUUUGAAUGUGGCAACAUUGGGAAGCAUCUUCAGUGUUUCAUUGCUUCAAUAAAGGUUUUGAAAUUCUUGUAAGAAGAUCCGCCUUCGCUUACACUCUUUCUAGUCAUUUCCUUCAACUUCUCUGCAUUUGCUUUUAUGCCAUCAUCAGAGACCAACUUUUCAAUCUUCAUCUUAAUCUCAUGCCUCGAUAUGAGUCCAUUUUCAUCUGGGUUCAAUCCCAAGCCCACCUUCCAUUUGUCGCAUAUGUAAUUCUGGUCAAGGAAUUGAUCUACAACGUAGGGCCAGCACAGGAAGGGGACUCCCAUGCUUAUGCUGUCCAUGGUUGAGUUCCAACCACAAUGGGAAAAGAAGCAUGCAACAGAAGGGUGAGCUAAAACCUCUUCUUGGGGUGCCCACGAGACAAUCUUUCCAUGGUCAGCUACUCUCUCAAUGAAACCAUCAGGGUAUUCAGCAGCUGAUCCAUCGGUGAAGUCUGAUCGGACAACCCAUAAAAAUGGUCGGCCUACAAGUUCAAUACCAAGUGCUAAUUCAUUGAAUUGGUGCUGGGUUAAGUUUCCGGUGCUGCCAAAAGCAACAUAAAUGACUGAGCCAGCAGGUUGUUUAUCGAGCCAGCCUAUGCAAGUUGAAUCCUCAGGCCAAAAGUUUGCAGCAUAAUGACCCGGAUCACUACUUGCAGGUAACGGGCCAAUUGGUAAUAAGUUAGGAAUCAAGUCACAAGCAGAUGAGUCAAGUUCGUAAACACAGUUGCAAGGAAGCCUCUUGGAAGAAUCCAUAAAUUGAAUAGAUGUGAGAUAAAUUCGGAAAACCCACUCUUGUACCUUCAGAUCAAUUGGCCACUUCCAGGGCAAGCCGUUGCAGCUCAAGACUGGAAUACCCUUCGACACGCAGAUCAACUCAUCUUUCAGAGGAGUUCCUGCAGAGAUAUUUGAAUCAUUUCUAUCAAAACCAAGAAAUUUCUUAGACAACAAGUUAAUUUUAGAAAUAUGAUAUAAAUUAACAAGUUGAAGCCUUAAUACCAUCAGUACUAUUUACGAUUCCACUCAAUUAACUUUGGAAUAUGAAGUGCCAAAGCCCAGAUUCCUGCUCCCAUAGGACAAAAAAGGACCCCUUCGAUUCCCAUCUUCUCUGCCACCUCCAUUGGCCACCGCUCAAGUGUUAUGUCAGCAAUAACACAAGUGAUCUGCUCAUCAUCAUUCGAGCGGUUGACUUUCUCAAUUAAAUCCUUCAAAUGACCCGGCAUGACUCUUGAACUACUUUCUGUUAUCUUGAGCAAGUUUUUCCGAUCGUCCCCUGGAUCCAGACCAUCUGGGAUAGAGACUAGCCCUAUCCCACUCUGAGCCUCAGCCUCAUGUGGGAGUGCAGCCAGCAGUUUAGCAUGUAUGAAGUCAGAGUUAACAAAGGUGACCUUGAUCCCGUGAUCAGAAAUCCGGUGUGCAAGCCUCAUAAGAGGAGCAACAUAUCCUUGCGCUGGGAGUGGUAUAAUCAGCACAUGAGGUCGCCUGCCCAUGGUCCUUGCUAACUUGCCAACACUUCCACCCUUCUCUUUGCUCUGAUCCCAAGCUUCACUAAUAUUGAUACUAUUUUAUUUGCCUAAGCCCUCCUUGGAACUGCAUUUAUGAAUUUUAUACCUAUUGUCCUCCUAAUUGAGGUGCAAAACUUUUUUCCCUUUCAAAAAACAAAGGGAAUAUGAAGUCCUUGCUAGCUUUUUUAACAAUGAAAACUAGUGGAAGUUCACCGACACUGUAGGGACCCCUCCCCCUGAUGACACGUGGCACACAUUUCUAUCCGGAUUAGCCCCAUCCGGAUUUUCCCAAGAGGACACAUGGCACGCUUCUCCUAUCCGGACUCCCUCAGGAGAGGCACACGACACUCGUAAACAUCACAUCCGGACGACCGACAUAGCCUAUCCGGAUAUGUUUGUCCGGAUCAUUGACUAAAGUAAGUAAGUCUUACUACGUCAUUCCGACAGCUUGCCACGACCCACGUUUCGCCAUCUGCAGAGUGAAAAGACAGGAAUGAUGGCAAGUCACUUCCCACGAUCUCUGACAGCUGCGGCGCCUCCCACGAUUUCUGUCAGCCGCCUGUAGGGUGAUGAUGGCCUUGCCACCACCUAGAGGCAUCAUGACAAGCCAAAAUAUCUCCCUAUCAUUAAAGAGGGAGACAGAGCUUCUGAUACUAUAUAUAUGGACCUUCACACAAGGAGGAAGGUAAGCUUGCGAUACCUAGUAAAAAGCCAACUAAUUAUUCUCUCUAACCAUGGUUGACAAAACCAUCGGAGGGUGUGUCCGAACACCCUGUCCGGACGCCUUUUGCAGGAACGACUGAACCAGGACUCUAUAUUGGUUGAGAUCGUGCGUCCAUUCAUUUGGCAACUACGUGGAUCACCAGGGACGCGAGGCCUCAACAUUGGCGCCGUCUGUGGGAAUUUAUUGAUUCAGUCACCGACAAAUAUGACCACACCUUCUAGAAGCCGCUCGUCUAGUAGGGGAGAGGAAGAUAACUCUGAAUGGCGCCAAGCCAUUAAGAGAAGACAGUUAGCGAGCGAACGACAACUACAAGCUCUCCUCCAGGAGACAGAAAGACUAAGAGAAGAGAACGCUGUGUUGCGUAUAUAGGCUUCAUCGACGGGGCCUCCCCGUCGUCAGCGUUCAAGAGGCCAGGUAGCAAACUCAAGGCCAGACCCAGAGUCAAUAUACCCUGGGACAGCGGGAGCCAUCCCAGAAACAGGCAAUGUUAGACCACAUGAGCCACACACGCCCCUGCACCGAGCUCCCCAUGAGGAAAGCUUAGACUCUACUCAUUUUUCAGCAAAAAGACAACGCGAUAGAAGAUCCCAGUUGUCAAACUCAAUGCGCGCAAGACUAGGCCCACAAGAGCCUGGAAGGCCAAGGCCGCCAGUAGCCACAACCUGGGCAGCACACCCUGACCCUAUGGUCACCCCCAUGGUGCAGAACGUUCUCCCGCACCAUGACCCUAUGGUCACCCCUAUGGUGCAGAACGUUCACUCGCACCUAGCGGUACGACAAGCUGGGAGAAACCUCCCAAACGAGCCACCCAUUGGCUCCAUCAGCAAAAGGUUGGACGACAUGCUCUCCACGCCUUUCUGCUCUCAUAUCAUUCAUUACGAGCCCCCAAGGGGAUUCCUUGUGCCAAAAUUCUCCACAUACGAUGGCUCCAGCGACCCCUUCGAUCAUAUCAUGCAUUAUCGACAGCUCAUGACUCUCGAUAUAGGCAACGACGCGCUGCUAUGCAAAGUAUUCCCCGCCAGCCUACAAGGGUAGGCCCUCUCAUGGUUUCACCGCCUACCUCCCAGCUCUGUUGAUAAUUUCAGAGACCUAUUGGAAGCCUUCGUGGGACAAUACUUAUGCUCCGCUCGACAUAAGCAGAACAUCAACACUCUGCAAAACAUAAAAAUGCAGGAUAACGAAUCCUUAAGGGAGUUCGUGAAGCGGUUUGGUCAGGCCGUACUACAGGUAGAGGCUUACAGCAUGAAUGCUGUCCUGCAGAUCUUCAAGCAAAGUAUCUGUCCAGGCACCCCAUUUUUUGAAUCACUCGCUAAAAAGCCUCCUACGACGAUGGACGACUUGUUUCGGCGUGCGAGCAAAUACUCAAUGCUCGAAGAUGACGUGCGAGCAGCCACCCAACAAGUCUUGGUUGUCGGAUAGGCAUCCAGAAGUGGCACGAAAAGAAGUGCCAAACUUCCGGACCGGCCAAGGCCGUCCGAUCGAAGGCAGGAAGGGCCAAGUCGCCCGGAAAGGCCGUCCCUCACACCCCUUUCCAUAUCCUAUGAGAAGCUUCUCCCUAUGAUCCAAGACAUGUCCGACUUCAGGUGGCCUAGAUCCAUCGGAACGGACCCAUCCAAAAGGGAUCAUAGUAAAAAAUGUGCCUUCCAUAAGGAGCAUGGUCACACAACGGAGACAUGCAGGUGCCUCCAUUAUUUGGUCGAAAGGCUCAUAAGGGCGGGACAUUUAAAGCAAUACCUCCGCUCAGAUACCGGAGAUAGAGAUGCUUCCCGAAAUCACAACUCUGGAGCCCCUAGGGCCCUAGCCGCCCCCAAAGCCGUUAUAAACUAUAUUAACGGAGGCCCAUCUGACGAGGAGUACGACUCCAAACGAAAGAGACAAAAGUUGUUGCGGGCAGCAUCAGUGCGCGAGCGUGUCAACUCCAUCCGGCCUGGGAUAACUGGGGGGGCCCUCGCCCCAUAGAUGGGACAAUCAUUUUCCCACCAGUAGACCCCACCUGGAUAUUGCAGCCGCAACGCAACGCCCUCAUCCUGUCCCUAAAGAUAGGAGACUUCGACGUGAGACGCAUCCUGGUUGACCCAGGCAGCUCGGCCGAUCUUGUGCAAGCAUCGGUCAUUAGCCACAUGGGGCACAGUCUCACAGGCCUCGAAAACCCUGGGCGAAUCCUGUCCGGAUUCAACAGGGCGUCAACUACUUCCUUGGGAGACAUUGUAUUGCCGGUCCAAGCUGGCCCAGUCACUCUCAACGUACAAUUUUCGGUGGUACAAGAUUUAUCACCCUUCAAUGUCAUCUUGGGGCGCACAUGGCUGCACUACAUGAAAGCCAUCCCCUCUACAUAUCAUCAAAUGGUAAGUUUCCUUACCAAGGAUGGGCAAAUUGACCUAUACGGCAGCUAGUUAGCCGCUCGCCAAUGCUACCAGAUAGCACGAGAAGCAGGGACCAGCCAGGAGGAUGCAUCCCUCCCUGAGUCCAGCCAUGCACGUGACCAAUAGCAAUUAUUGAGUUCGGCGGUCAAAGAUCCCCCGACAGCGGAUCCCUUGCAAACGAUCCAAAUUUCAGAAGAAGGUACUCACCUUACGAAUAUCAGUUCCCUUCUAACACCAGAAGAGACCCGGAACAUGCAGAACGCCCUUAGACAAAACCAUGACGUCUUCGCAUGGGCACAUUCUGAUAUGAAGGGAAUUCAUAUCUCCAUUACCUCUCAUAGGCUUAACGUCUUGCCAAUAGCCAGACCUAUCCGGCAGAGGGUUAGACGUUUUCACCCAGACAUACAAAAAAUUAUCCGGAAUGAGAUUGACAAGUUGCUAGAAGCCGGAUUCAUCAGGGAAGUGCAUUACCCGGACUGGUUGGCAAAUGUAGUGGUGGUACCAAAAAAAAAAGGCAAAUGACGGGUAUGCGUCGACUACACCAACCUCAAUAAUGCAUGCCCAAAAGACAGUUUCCCUUUGUCACGGAUAGAUCAAAUUGUGGACUCCACUGCUGGGCAAGGGAUGCUCUCCUUCUUGGACGCCUUCUCCGGAUACCACCAAAUCCCCAUGUCCCCGGCUGACGAAGAAAAGACAGCCUUCAUAGCACCACAUGGUCUCUAUUGCUACAAAGUCAUGCCAUUCGGACUCAAAAACGCUGGCGCCACUUAUCAGAGACUGAUGACGAAGAUCUUCAAACCUCUGGUCGGCCGCACAGUAGAGGUAUAUAUUGACGAUAUCGUGGUUAAAAGCAAAACCCGAGAGGAACAUGUCCUCCACUUGCAAGAAGUCUUCCACCUCUUAAGGAAGUAUGACAUGAAGUUGAAUCAUUCUAAAUGCGCCUUUGGCGUAAGUGCUGGCAAAUUCCUGGGAUUUAUGGUCAGCCAAAGGGGGAUAGAGGUCAGCCCAGACCAAGUCAAGGCAGUCAUGGAAACACCACCCCCCAGGAGCAAAAAGGAAUUACAGCGCCUCACAGGCAAGCUUGUCGCGCUAGGGCGUUUUAUAGCCCGCUUCACUGAUGAACUGCGACCCUUCUUCUUAACAAUACGAAAAGUAGGAGCAAACGGAUGGAUAGACAGCUGUCAAAGCGCUUUUGAAAAAAAUUAAACAUUGCCUCAUGCAACCGCCCAUCCUGAGCAGUCCCCUCCCUGAAGAAAAACUGUAUAUGUAUCUGGCUGUAUCGGAGUGGGCAAUUAGCACUGUUCUAUUCCACUGCCCCUCACCCAAGGAGCAGAAACCUAUCUACUACAUUAGUAGAGCAUUGGCGUACGUAGAAACCAAGUAUUCAAAGAUGGAGCUAACGGCCUUAGCUCUUUGAAGUGCCGCCCAGAAGCUCCGCCCCUACUUCCAAGCCCACCCGGUGGUCGUGCUAACUGACCAGCCCCUUCGCAACAUUCUACACAAGCCAGACUUAACCGGAAGAAUGCUUCAAUGGGCCAUAGAGUUAAGCGAAUAUGGAAUCGAGUUCCAACCCAGGCUGUCCAUGAAAGGCCAAGUUAUGGCUGACUUCGUGCUGGAAUACUCCCGAAGGCCUAUCCAGCGCAAGGAACCAAGUGAAAAAGAGUGGUGGACUUUGCGGGUCGAUGGAGCCUCACGAUCAUCAGGAUCCGGAGUAGGACUCCUACUGCAAUCACCAACAGGAGAACAUCUGGAGCAAGCCAUCAGGCCGGGGUUCUCCGCCUCUAGCAAUGAAGCGGAAUAUGAGGCCAUCCUAUCCGGAUUGGACCUCGCACUGGCUCUAUCCGUCUCCAAGCUCCGGGUUUAUAGUGACUCCCAACUCGUGGUAAGGCACGUUCAGAAGGAAUACGAAGCUAAGGAUGCAUGCAUGGCGCGAUAUCUGACUAAAGUAAAGGACACCUUACAACGAUUCACUGAAUGGACGAUCGAAAAAAUCAAACGAACUGAAAAUGGAUGUGCCGACGCCCUAGCAGGCAUAGCUGCCUCCCUCCCCAUCAAAGAAGCCAUAUUGUUGCCUAUACAUGUGUAAGCCAACCCUUCCGUCGCGGAAACCUCCAUUUGCAAUACCAUUGAGGCAAACCAAGUAGACGGCCAAGAGUGGACAGAAGACAUUAUAAGGUACCUCCAGACAGACACUCUGCCUGAAGAGCCCAAGCAGGCACAUAAGCUCAGGGUGCAAGUCGCCCGUUUCACCCUGAUUGGGGGGCACUUGUACAAGCGAUCCUUCACAGGUCCCUAUCUCCGGUGCCUUAACCACUUAGAGGCCCUGUAUGUAUUAGCUGAAUUGCACGAGGGAGUAUGUGGAAAUCAUUCUGGAGGUUGAUCUCUGGCACACAGGGCCCAUUCGCAAGGAUAUUACUGGACCAUGAUGAAGAAGGAUGCGGUAGCCUAUGUCAAAAAAUGUGACAAAUGCCCAAGGCAUGCCCCCAUACCACAUGUGCCGUCGGAGACAUUGAAGCCAAUUUCAGGCCCCUGGCCCUUCGCGCAGUGGGGCAUGGACAUAGUAGGACCCCUACCAACCGCACCCGCUCAAAAGAAAUUCCUGCUUGUCGCCACGGAUUACUUCAGUAAAUGGGGGGAAGCUGAAGCAUACGUUAACAUCAAAGACAAAGAUGUCACCAAGUUCGUGUGGAAGAACAUCAUCUGCUGCUUCGGAAUCCCCCAAACCAUUAUAGCCGACAACGGUCCACAGUUUGAUAGCAUCGCUUUGCGGAAUUUCUGUUCGGAACUAAACAUCCGGAAUUCAUACUCCACACCGCGUUAUCCUCAAAGUAAUGGGCAAGCAGAGGCCACAAACAAGACCCUAAUAACUGUCCUAAAAAAGAGGCUCGAGCAAGCCAAAGGAAAGUGGGUGGAAGAGCUACCCGGUGUCCUGUGGGCUUAUCGAACCACACCCGGACGUCCAACAGGAAACGCUCCCUUCGCCCUCGCAUACGGUAUGGACGCAAUCAUUCCUACUGAAAUAGGGCUACCCACUAUCCGGACCGAGGUAGGAAGGCAAGAUGAUGCAAAUGUGGAGUUAGGCAGAAACUUGGACUAGGCAGACGAAGUAAGAGAAACUGCAUCCAUCCGGAUGGCGGAUUAUCAACAAAGGGCAUCUGCUCACUAUAAUCGCAAAGCAAGGCCCAUAAGUUUCAAAACUGGAACGCUGGUCCUUAGGAAGGUUUUGGAAAAUACUGCAAAGAUAGGAGCGAGAAAAUUUUAAGUCAAUUGGGAAGACCCCUAUAUAGUAUCUAAGACAAGUGAAAGUGGAGCCUAUCAUCUACAGAAGCUAAACGGAACCCCAUUGCUCCGACCAUGGAAUGUAUCUAAUCUAAAGCAGUAUUACCAAUGAAAGAAAAAUAGAGGUACAAAUAUGAAUAAGUAUGUUUUAUUAGAACUUGUGAAAAUUGUAUACAAAAGUUCUCUGGACUACAAAAUACAGAGAGAAGAUAGCAGUAAAAUUACAAAAAGAAAAGCUCUCAUUGGGAAGGCUUGCCGCGCAGCUUCUCCUCCUCAGCCGGGGGAAUCGAAGGGACGUCCCGCUUAAUACCAUGUUUCUUCAUACAACAAUGGUAGCCAAAGAAGUACAUUUCGUCUACCUGCUUCUGGCAGUCCGCUUCGAGUUCCUCCCUUUCCACAGCAAACUCAGCCUCCAACUCUUCUUUUUGCACUGAUAAACGCGACUGCAAAUCCUCUCUCUGCUUUUUCUCGAUUGACACAUCUGUCCGGAGUCGCCUCACUUCUCCCCUCAGCUGGGCCAUCUCGUCCUCCGCCUCAUGCAGGCGGGCGUUUGUAGAUUCCUCCCGACUCUUUGCCUCAGCUAGCUCUAUCCGGAGAGCCUCGUUGUCAUCCUAGGCAGCGGAUAAACUGGCUUCGGCCUGCUCCAAUCUCAAGCGCAGUUCCUCUUCACUGUCUUUGCGCUGGGAGACGAAGGCCUUCAUAUAAUCGGCAGUCCGCAGCAGGUCCGAAAAAAGAUCGCGUUGUUGAGCCAUGCCACGAAUACCGCUCACCAGCUACAGAAAAACCUACAAACAAGAAGUGCAAAGUUACAACCCAUGUGACAAACACAUCAAUAUGGCAGGAAAAAUCAAGAAGUAAACUAUACCAUUUCCGCCGCUUCAAACAUUUUUGCUGAAUGCACAUCAACAUUUGAGCCGGGUGGAAUCCGUUUCAGCAUCUCUCCCAACUCCGCAUAGCUGAAAGGGCUAGCGGAGAUGCAAGCCGCAUCAUCAACUAGACUUCCCCCUGACAAAACAGUAGGGUGUGACUCCUCUCUCAGGUCCGGGGCCCCAUCAUUCUCGGCCAGCUGGGUCUCUCCGGGUGAACCCUCAUCCAGGACUAGCACCGGGGAGGUUGGGUUUUCUUCUGCCAUCUCAGUCUCACUCCCCUCAUGAUGAUUCUCCUGGACGGAUGAGCAGCUGACUUCGAUGGUUUCCAGAAAACGAUCCUGAAGCCGCCCGAUGAGGCCAAACUUUAAGUCGCGGGCCGGACGAGACCUCCUUGUAGCUGGCCCCUUCACCGGUACAAAGGCAAGGGAGCUUGGCUCAUAAGGAGGCAAACCCUAACUUGCAGCCCCCGUUUCUUCCAUUGGCAGUGCCGUAGGAGGCUACGUUUCAAUACAAGAGGCCCCGGCUACAUCCGCGUCCGGAUGGGGAGAGCCGGGCUGAUUUACUGAAGUCGCUUCCUCAGCCAGAAGAGCCAGCCGUCCAGCCGCUGGCAUUGAAGGCCCCGAAUGGUUUAGACCCGCGAGACAUCCGGAGCCGCUUGAAACAGAGGGCAAGACGGAGGGAUCUGGCGUUCUUAUUGUUACUCCCUUUACAUAAGUUGGAGGUGGUAUCACCACUUCCUUUGGGGGAGUUGGAAGUUUUAUUUCUUUCCCCUUAUUGAGAACCUUCUUCUUCUUUUUCGCUGGGGCGCCAGCAGGUGGAGAGGACGCGGGACAUUUAUUACCAGGAGCCUUCCGCAAAAGUCCUUCUUGCCUUUUCUCUUCCCGUUUGUUGAGACGGGCUUUGCGUGACUGGGUGUCCGCCUUUCGCACCGCCGCGUAGAAUGGGAGAUCUUUGAGAACGAAAUGCUCACCAGCCACCACCUCUUUGGGCAGCCGCCUCGGGAGUAUGUUCAGCAUGUACGGCUGGGGCUCCUGGAUAACCAAGUGAAGAUUCUGCGCGGAGAGAAGCGUUUCACAACUCCUCUCGACCGCCGCAAUCUCAAAAAGCCUGUUCAACCGGUCGAACGUGGCUUUCUCCACCCAUUCUACCAACUUCCCCCUUUUAUCCUUGUCUGCAACCAAGAAAACAAAACAUGUCAGCCACCUAACAAUGCUGACCUAACUCGCAAACCGCAGAAAGACAGGAAGUAACUUAUUCAUACCUGAGACCUUCAAUGACUGGUUGGGAGCUAACUACCUAUCCGGAUGCACCGUCAAACCCGCCCAUAGGCCCUUGACCAGCACAUGACCCUUGGCGGCCCCCUUGGUCGAGUCCGAAAGGCUGGUCACCAACUGAAGGGAUGGAAGGCUAGCGACAAAGCUGAAGAUGUCAUUUUUCACCUUCUUAAUCGAAUAGAUGAAGAGAACCUCCAGCAGUGAGAGGUCCAGAUUGAACAACAUGCUCAGAAUGCUGCACCCCAUCAGCACCCGGACCAUGUUGGGAUGGAUGUAAGCUGGAGGAAUCUGAGUGAAGUGAAGGAAUUCCUUGAACAAUGACGGGAGGGGGAACCGGAGCCCAGCAUUGAAUUGCUCAUUGGAAAAGAAGAUAGCGUUGUCUUCAAUUUUCUCAGUCGACACGGCCUCUCCGUCCGUAAGUUCAAUGAACAAGCCAUUCGGGAUGCAGAAGCGUUCGCGAAACUCCCUCACAUUCAACUUAUCCACGGAUUUCUCAGCAUGAGCAUCUCCGGACGAGCUAGAUGAAGUAGCUUCCUAGUUCGCAGACAUUUUUUAGGCUGGGGCUGAAAUGGAAUUUGCAUGGAGGAAUGCCAACAGUCAAACACAGCAAUCCGACCCCACAACCCUAACGACAAAAACGCUCAGAAAGCCUAAACAACACCAGCAUCCCCAUCUCAAACCUUAACUCUACCGCAAAGAAGAAUCGAUGGCCUACAAAAGGCACAGGGGUGUUGAGGCCUCGCGUCCCUAGUGAUCCACGUAGUUGCCAAAUGGAUGGACGCACGAUCUCAACCAAUAUAGAGUCCUGGUUCAGUCGUUCCUGCAAAAGGCGUCCGGACAGGGUGUCCAGACACACUCUCCGAUGGUUUUGUCAGCCAUGGUUAGAGAGAAUAAUCAAUUGGCUUUUUACUAAGUAUCGCAAGCUUACCUUCCUCCUUGUGUGAAGGUCCAUAUAUAUAGUAUCAGAAGCUUUGUCUCCCUCUUUAAUGAUAGGAAGAUAUUUUGGCUUGUCAUGAUGCCUCUAGGUGGUGGCAGGGCCAUCAUCACCCUACGGGCGGCUGACAGAGAUCGUGGGAGGCGCCGCAGCUGUCAGAGAUCGUGGGAGGCGCCGCAGUUGUCAGAGAUCGUGGGAAAUGACUUGCCAUCAUUCCUGUCUUUUCACUCUGCAGGUGGCGGAACGUGGGCCGUGGCAGGCUGUUGGAAUGAUGUAGUAAGACUUGCUUACUUUAGUAAAUGAUUCAGACAAACAUAUCCGGAUAGGCUAUGUCGGUCAUCCGGAUGUGAUAUGGCGGUCGUCCGGAUGUGAUGUUUACGAGUGUCGUGUGCUUCUCCUAAGGGAGUCCGGAUAGGAGAAGUGCGCCACGUGUCUUCUUAGGGAAAUCCGGAUGGGGCUAAUCCGGAUAGAAAUGUGUGCCACGUGUCAUCAGGGGGAGGGGUCCCUACAAGGGGGGCAACAGAAACCCUAAACACACCCAAAACACGAUCAAAACCCCCCGAAAAAAGCCCUAGAAACCAAUACCGACUCCCAAUCGCAAAGAAACUUGCCCAGCAAGCCAGAAACAACCAACAAAGCAAACACAAACGAGGAAAAGACAGAGAUAGAGAAUGUACCGAGUGUAAACUGGCGAAUGGAGAUGAAAAUCCACAGUGCAGUCACUGUCACGGCACGGGUAUUGCUAGCAGAAACCCUAGAAACUCACUCACAAAUGAAGAAAAACGCAGAAGGCUGAAGAGAAAGCACUACCAGUAGAAAAAUGCAGAAGAAAAAAUGCAACAAUAAAGGGCUCAGUCCGCUAUUUAUAGUGAGACAAACCCUCGGUAUCCCAAACGCUGAGCCGUGCCAUCAUUUUAAAAGACACACUGCCUGGGAAAUCCCAGAGACGGCGGCUCAUCAUAAAUGCUCUUCUUCCUUUUCGCCCCCGCUCGCCACAUGACCCAAUGAGCGCAAAAAGUAACCUCAGUUUCAAAAACAAUUAUUUUUAACCCGCCCAUUCUGCCCAGGCAAAAUCGACAAGUUAAAAGGGGGGCAUUGUAGGGACCCCUCCCCCUGAUGACACGUGGCACACAUUUCUAUCUGAAUUAGCCCCAUCCGGAUUUCCCCAAGAUGACUCGUGGCGCGCUUCUCCUAUCCGGACUCCCUCAGGAGAGGCACACGACACUCGUAAACAUCACAUCCGGACGACCGCCAUAUCACAUCCGGACGACUGACAUAGCCUAUCCGGAUAUGUUUGUCCGGAUCAUUGACUAAAGUAAGCAAGUCUUGCUACGUCAUUCCGACAGCCUGCCACGGCCCACGUUCCGCCAUCUACAGAGUGAAAAGACAAGAAUGAUGGCAAGUCACUUCCCACGAUCUUUGACAGCUGCGGCGCCUCCCACGAUCUCUGUUAGCCGCCCGUAGGGUGAUGAUGGCCCUGCCACCACCUAGAGGCAUCAUGACAAGCCAAAAUAUCUCCCUAUCAUUAAAGAGGGAGACAGAGCUUCUGAUACUAUAUAUAUGGACAUUCACACAAGAAGGAAGGUAAGCUUGCGAUACCUAGUAAAAAGCCAACUGAUUAUUCUCUCUAACCAUGGCUGACAAAACCAUCGGAGGGUGUGUCCGGACACCCUGUCCAGACGCCUUUUGCAGGAACGACUGAACCAGGACUCUAUAUUGGUUGAGAUCGUGCGUCCAUCCAUUUGGCAACUAUGUGGAUCACCAGGGACGCGAGGCCUCAACAGACACUAGAGAUGGAAAACCCUCGUCUCAGAAAUGCAAGGAAAGGGAAGAACGUGAAGAAUUUGAAGACCUUCACACUUGGAUCAACCCUUGUUUUCUUCUUUUCUCCUCACCUUUCACUCUCAACCGUCUGCCCACACAUAUGCUUCCACAGAGCCCUAGCUGCUGCAUUAUUGGCCUUAGAAACCAGCCGCCAGACCAGCCCAACAUGUGGGUUUGAAAAAAAUACUUUCCUGAGCUGGAACCCAUAUAUGGGCAAGCCCAACAAAGUCCAUCUCUGAUUUAUGAAUUUAUUUUAUUACCUCAAAGCUAUAGGUUUGUGGGUCUGGCCCACACUUAUUGUGGUGUAAUCUCCUAUGUGGUUAAUUUGUCUUUAUAGUGUCUUCUAUGGCUCUCCAUUGCACAUGGAACCAUAUUUAAGAAUUUCAUUUAGUUGGCUGCGUUUCAUCUCAUAGUUUUAUAUGACUGUUGUGAGUAAGCUUUUCAGGCAGUGUCCUGGAAAACUAAUAGAAUUUGGAGGAUUGUCUAAUUGAUCCUAAAGAAUUUUAGCUGAGUACAAAUGAAAUGUGGAAUUUCCAUUAUUCUAAGUUUUAAACUUAUAUUUCACUUAACAACUUUUUUUUUUCCUGCAUUACCACCUCAUAUUGGAUUGUAGCCAUCUUUUCUGUCAGUUUUUUCUUCUUUUCUAGUGUUGCUGAUGCAUUAAGAUAUAUAUCUUUUGUUUUAUAUGAUGAGGAAGUUAUCAUCACGUUUUUCCUUCGUCUUUUUUACAUACAAACUCUUAUGUAGCUUGAAUCUCUUGUCUUUUGUUGUCACAUCCCAAAACCCACUUCAAGGGCAUGACAGUCAUUUCACACCUCAAGCCCAAAGGCUCAAAGUGGAAACGAUACAAACAUUCAUAUUAUAACUGAAAAUUUACCAAUUACCAAAUUCCUAUUCAGAGUAGUAUGACAAAAUUCUAAAAUCUCUCCAAGUAUCAACUUUAAAAAAACUAACACAUCAACUAGAGUGUUAUUGUCCAUAUAACUCCAAAUUCAAAUAAUUUAAAUCGGAAUUAAAUUUUAACAUCUAAACAAUGUCCAAAAAUAAAGUUUGAACCAAAAUCCUAACAAAGAAAAAUUCCCAAGCCUAACCAUCACUCCUCGCCCGAACUGAGAGUACCUGAAAAAUUAUCAACGAAGGGGCAUGAGCUCAAUAAGGAACAUCAAUGUAGUUUCAUGGAUCAAAUAUUUUCAAUCAUGUUUGCAAAUAGGAGAUAUAACAUAUACUUAUUUUCAUAAAAAACUUUUGAGUUCGAAAUACUAAUAUAUUCAAACUUUUCAACAAACUUUCUCAUAUCUUUUUCAAAACAAUUUCUCAUCAAAACCAAAUCAAAUGCAUUCAAAAUAUCUUUACUCUGGUUAUCAAAUAACAAAUGGUGUCCAAUUAGGAGAGACUUCACAAAUGAGUGGCUAGUUUCAAAUUUGUUCUAGUUGAGGUGAACAAAACCAAAAGUCAACAAUUGUAACCCGUUGACUAGGAGUCAUAAGGUCAACUAUUAUAACUCGUUGACUAGAGCCACAAGGUCAACUAUUAUAACCCGUUGACCAUAUAAUAUCAACUAUUAUAACCCGUUGAUUAGGGCCAUAAAAUGUCAACAACCCAUUGACUAGGGCCAUAGGAACUAGAGUCAAACACUUUAUUUCAUUAAUUCAAACUUACAAAACAAAAUAUCAUAUCUCCAAAAAUUUUCACUUUUCAUAAAUAAACAAGGAAGAUUUUCAAAUAUACUUUCCAUACAAAACACAUAUUUGAUCCAUGCAAAAAGAUAAAAAUAAUAUUUUUACACUUUUAAAAAUACAAUAUAAAAAGGAAAUUAUUUUCUUUUGUAAACAUCUGCAUUAAUUUCCCUUACCUUGAAGAAACACUCAAAAUCUUGAAGUAUUUAACUCUAAAGAAUUUCCUCUUCACCUAACAUAAUAUCAUACACAAUAUUGAUUAUUGAUUAUUGAUUAUUUAUCCAAACAUAUAAAUUUGAAAAUCCUAAAAAUAUUUUAUUUAGUAUUAGGGAUCCUAAUUAAUUUCUCAUAUUAAUAUUAUUACCAUCCAAUAUUAUUUUCAACUUCCUAAACAAUAAUUUAUUUCCUUUUUUUCUAACUUAUCUAGCAUAAAUCUUUUAAGAAUAUUUAUUUGCAUUAAACUAUUAUUACUAUUAUUUAAAUCUCCUACCGAAACUUAACAAAUACCCCAUGCAAUCCUUUUUUCUUUUUUUUUUCAACAUGUCAAAUCCUUUCUACGCUUCUUUCAUCAUUUUUUUUUCUCUGAAGUCAAAACUUUUAACCUCUAUACUCACAAUUUUAUAUAAUUUUCACAUCCAAAACUAUAUAAUUUUUUUAAAAUUUAAUUUAAUUUUUUAUCUAAAUCUAUUCAUUUGAGUAAUCAAAAUUUAUUGAUCUCCAUUAAUAAAUCAAACUAUGUUCAUAAAUUUUUAAUCUUUGUGACCUAGAAAUUAAUUAAAUGAACUCUAAUCAAAAUUAAGAUAUUCUAAAGAAUAUCUAAAGUGUUUAAAACUAAUUAACGAAUAUAAAAUAUUAAUUUAAAGAUUAAAAAUCUUACCUGAAAAAUUGAUCUUCAAACCCUAAACCUUCAAACCUUCAACCCUAUGCUCUCUGAUCUUUCUGAUCUUUGUGUAAAAGAGUUUUCUGAAUAGAGAAUAUAGGAAAGAUAUAAUUUAUAUAUAGGGGUUUUAAAUACGAAAAAACCUUUUUACCCUUAUUAAAUUACUUUAAUUAAUUAAUAAUUUCUAAAUUACAAUUUUACCCCUAAAUUGGGUUUGGGGCAUUACAUUUGCAUCAUCAGUAUUUGUCUUUUUCUGUUAUAAACAAGCCUAUAUUGAUGUUGAGCCCUCCCUUCUACUUUAUUUAUGUAUUUCAUACAUUAUCUAGAAGCUAAAGUUUGUGGCUCAUAUCAUUUGUCACUUAUCUUGGUAUUUUGUCUUUAUAAAGUGUCUUAUGUGGCUCUCCAUUACAAAGGGUUAUGAAAAAGAUGUGGUUGUAAGGGCAUUCUCUUCUUUAGGUGGUAACUUUUGUUGAAAUCCAAAAAAAAUUCAAAGAGAAAAAGAGAAAAAAAAAAAAAAAGGGUUUCUUAUUAUGAAUUCUCUUGAAAAUACGUGCAACACUAUUACAAUUUAAAUAGACCUAAUAAAAGAAAAUAAAGACUAUUUUACCCUUACUUCUAAAAAUAUAGAAAAUAAUUCUAACAUUGUAACUAAAUAAACAACAAAUUAUUUUUUUGCCCUUCAGAAAAAUUUCCAUCACAUAACUCCAAAACAAAUAAUUUUAUUUUUUUGUAUCCAAUUUCCUACUUUUAGAUUAAAGGAAUCAUUUCAUUCACUAGGGAUGAUGAAUAAAUAACAAAUAACUAUCAAAAAAAAAAAAAAAAACAUAUAUGAAUCAAAGAAAAUGAAUACGAAAUCGAAUACUAUGAUCAAAUAGGAAAAGAAUUAUGUCAUUUAUCUUGGUAUUUUGUCUUUAUAAAAUGUCUUGUGUGGCUCUCCAUUGUCACUUAUCUUGGUAUUUUGUCUUUCUAAAGUGUCUUCUAUGGCUCUCCAUUGCCACUUAUCAAAAGUCUAAUUAAAAGAUAAUUUUUACUCUAAUACCAAGUUGAAAUCCAAAAAACGAUUUAAAGAUAAAAAGAUCGAGAAAAAACAAAAUUUAGGAUUUCUUUUAAAAAUAACUCCAACAUCAUUAGAAUUUAAAUAAACAUAAUAAAAGAACAUAAAAACUAUUUUAAUGUUGUAGAAAGAAAGAAAAUAAUUCUAAUAUAGUAACUAAAUAUAUAAUAACUAAAUAAUACAUAAUUCUAAUAUACUAACUAAAUAUAUCUAACACCUUUUAAGAUUGGAUACCGUAGAUGGGCCCUUUUAAAUAAUAUUUCUUUGAUGUGAGAAUGGGUUUGAUAUUUUAGUAAAAUAUAGUAAAAUAAUAUUUCUUUUAUUAUAUAAAACAUAAAAGAUAGGAUAUAUAUAUACAUAGAAAAUACGAACAUAUGUAAACAAGUUACGCCUCACACAUUUCUCAACUCCAUAUAUAGUAGUAUUUCUCAAGCAUAUAAUAACAAAGGAUGAAAAUGAAGUAGUUGAGAAUUGUAUGAGAAAUAGGUUCUAGUUACAUUGGGGUUCUUCUUGUACUAGGAGUUGUAGAGACAAGCAAAUUAAACUCCUCGUCAAAAAUAAAAAGAAGUAGAACUAGUUUACGUAUCACACUUGAAAUGAAAAUGCAUGGAAGAGAAAAGCCACACCUUCCUAGAAUCUAGCUACAUGUCCCAAUAGUGUUAGGAUUCCAUAUGAGUUAGAAGUAUAAAUUUUGUGAGCUAGCUCACUUUAUAUAUCCCCAUCAUCAUUAAUUUUUCUCAUGCAGGAAAGCCCAUUUCAAUUUUCUAUGGCUGGUGAAGAAAUAAGUGUCCCAAAGCUACCAGUAGGAUUCAUAUUUCUACCCACGGAUGAGGAGUUGGUGACCUAUUAUUUGAUCAACAGGGUGUAUUACAGGCCUCUUCCAGCCAAACCCAUUCAAGACAUUCCUGCAAGUGAAUUUUACGGCAGUCCUUCUCAUCAUCUAGGUACUUUGAUUUAUGAGCAUGAUAUACAUAUUAAAUCCAAAUCAUGUAAAAUUAUGUUUUUAGGAAAACUGGUAGUUCAACAUGGUAUCAAAGUUAGGAAAGAAGGCUCAAACUUGGGUUUUCUCCAAAAGUGGUUGAAUGUCGUAAAAGUUCGACCUACCCACUCUUCAAAUUGAUAAAUGGUAGUUUUUUCCAUUCAUACUUUCAUUCGUUCAUGUACAAGAGAAUAUAUAGAGGGUAAUCACCAUUUUAAGAAUGGGAAGGAAUGAUACAAGGAAAGAAUGAUAUAAGGAAAUAACAACUAAUAUCCUAAUAUCUCAAUAUUCCUAAUAUCUCAAUAUUCCUAAUAUCUCAAUAUUCUUAAUAUCUCAACUUUCCUAAUAUUUAAACAUUCCUAAUAUCUCAACACUAAAUAAUAUAAGGAAAUAAUGAUAUACGGAAAUCAUUCCUAAUAUCUCAACACUCCCCCUCAAGUUGGUGCAUAGAUGUCACACAUGCCCAACUUGUCUAAAAAUUUUGAGAACACUUGACUUGAGACAGCUUUGGUGAGGAUAUCGGCCAAUUGAUCUUCUGAUCGAAUCUUAGGCAAUUCCACAAUCUUGUCAUCCAAUUUUUCCUUAAUGAAGAAUCUAUCCACCUCGACAUGCUUUGUACGAUCAUGUUGUACUGGAUUAUGAGCAAUGUCACAUGCGGCUUUAUUGUCACAAAACAAUUGGAUUGGUUGCCUAGAUAGGUAACCUAAAUCCUGUAAGAGAAGUCUUAGCCAUAAUGCCUCACAAAGUCCUAGAGCCAUACCUCUAAAUUCUGCUUCUGUACUUGAACGAGCGAUGACAUUCUGCUUCUUACUUUUCCAUGUCACAAGAUUACCACCUACAAAGGUAAAGUAACCAGAUGUAGAUCGCCUAUCAUCCACUGCACCGACCCAAUCAAUAUCAAUAUAUACUUCUAUACUCUGAUGAUUAACAUUUUUAGUGAACAAAAUUCCCUUCCCAGGAGCAUUCUUCAAAUACCUCAAAAUACGCAUAACUGCAUUCAUAUGUUGCUCUCCAGGAUUAUGCAUGUAUUGACUCACUACACUCAAUGCAUAAGCAAGAUCUGGUCUUGUAUGAGCUAAGUACAUUAAUCUCCCCACAAGUCUCUGGUAUCUUCCCUUAUCAGUUGAUACUUGAUUAGGCUCAACACACAAUUUCAGACCUUCUUCUAUUGGUGUAUUAACAGGUUGACAUCCUGACAUUCCAGUCUCUUGUAAAAGAUCUAAGGCAUACUUUCUUUGAGACAGAAAAAUUCCUUCACUUGAUCGAGAAACUUCAAUCCCAAGAAAGUAUUUCAGAGGACCUAGAUCUUUCAUUUCGAAUUCUCUAGAUAGAUAAUUUUGCAGAGCUUUUCUUUCUUCAGGAUCAUUUUCUGUAACUACCAUGUCAUCCACAUAUACGAUGAGUGUGGUAAUCUUACCAUGUUGCUUUUUCAGGAACAAAGUAUGAUCUGAAUUACUUUGACGAUAGCCAAAAGCUCUUAUUGACUUUGUGAACCUUCCAAACCAUGCUCUCAGGGAUUGCUUCAACCCAUACAAUGACUUCUUCAAUUUGCACACUUUCUGACAUUGCUUUUUUGACACCAUGCAUCCUAGUGGAAUAUCCAUAUAUACUUCUUCAGAUAACUCGCCAUGCAGAAAGGCAUUUUUCACAUCGAACUGUUGUAAUGGCCAAUCUAGGUUUGCAGCUAAAGACAGUAAUACUCGAACUGUGUUGAUCUUAGCUACAGGUGCAAAUGUCUCUGUGUAGUCAAUUCCAUAAGUUUGAGUGUACCCUUUUGCUACCAGUCUUGCUUUAAAUUGUUCAAUACUACCAUUUACCUUGUACUUCACAGUAUAGAUCCAACGACACCCAACUGGCUUCUUUCCUGGUGGACAUUCUACGAGUUCCCAUGUUUCAUUCUUCUGCAAUGAUUUCAUCUUUUCAUUCAUGGCUGCUUUCCACCUUGGAUCAGCUAAGGCUUCUUGCACACUGUUAGGAAUAGCUACAGUAGAUAAUUGAUUUACAAAUGACUUAUUUGAUUCAGACAAACGAUGGUUAGACACAUAGUUGCUCAUGGGAUAUUUGACUUUGGUAGACAAUUCAGGUUUAUUUGUGGGUUUAGGAAUACCUCUAUUAUGACGGUGUGGUAACCGUUUCAUGAAUGGAUCAGGUUCCAAAUUAAGAACACCUUCAACAGACGACGAUUGGUUUGGUAUUUCAGUGAAGACAUCUUCGGACCCAAAUUGUUGACCACUCAUAUCCAACUCACCCGCUUCUUGGUUCACUAGUUCAGAUUGUCCAGAUUCAUUCUCCUUAGAGAUAUGAUAAUCAUAAUCGAGAGUCUGAAUUUCCUUAUGGUACUCCCCCUGAAGUUCAGACUCAGAUGAAAAAUACAUCGAAUCUUCAUGAAACACCACAUCCAUUGUAAUAUACAUUUGUCGAGUUGGAGGAUGGUAACAUCGAUAUCCCUUUUUAUGCAAUGCAUAUCCAACAAACACACAUUGCAAUGCAUGGGAAGUUAAUUUGGUGCGUUGGUGUUUGUGUAGAUGCACAAAUGCCACACAACCAAAAACAUGAGGAGGUAGAUUUGGGAAAGUUGGGGCAACUACGGCAUUAGUAAGAGCUUGGAGAGGUGUUUGGAAGUUAAUUGAGCUGGAAGGUACCCAAUUGAUCAAGUAUGCGGCAGAUGUGAUUGCUUCUCCCCAAUAAGAUAUCGGUGUUUUUGCUGCUAUCAAGAAAACACGAACAACCUCUAACAAGUGCCGAUUUUUCCGUUCAGCGACUCCAUUUUGCUGGGGUGUAUUGGAACAAGUAGUCUGAUGAAUGAUGCCAUGUCCUUCCAAAUACUUUUGAAGAUCAGAACUUUGAUAUUCUUCACCAUUAUCACUACGCAGAACCCGAACCUUUGCAUUGUACUGAGUUUCAAUCAUUUUAUGAAAUUUUUGAAACAACAAGUUCACUUCAUCUUUGGUCUUCAUCAAGCAUAACCAUGUCAUUUUGGUACAAUCAUCAAUAAAAGUAACAAACCAAUGUGAGCCACUCAAAGUUGGGACUUUGGAUGGACCCCAAACAUCAGAAUGUAUAACCAUAAAAGGAAACGGACUUUUGUUCAAAAUUAACGGAAACGAAACACGAUGGCUUUUAGCCAAUUCACAAAUAUCACAACGGAAACCAGAAAUAUCACUCUUUGCAAACAAACUAGGAAACAAUUUUUUUAAAUAACCAAAGGAAGCAUGUCCCAGACGUCGAUGCCACAACCAAAUUUCAGACUUUUUCUUCUCCCCCUCAGAUCCAUCUGCCAUCAAGGCUUGUUGCAACUUAUUUGAAUCCUUUGACUGCAAGUCCAAGUAAUAGAGUUUUCCCCGCUUAAUACCACAACCAAUCGUCUGUCUUGUUUGGAUGUCCUUAAUCACACAAAAUUCAGGCCAAAAAAUGACAAUACAAGAUAAGGCUGCGGUGAUUUGAGAAAUUGACAAAAGAUUGUAAUCUAAAGAUGGAACAACUAAGACAGAAUCCAAAUUCAAAGUAUCAGUAAGAGUUAAGGAUCCUUCCCCAAUGACUGGGGUUGUGUUACCAUUGGCUGUGGAAACAAUUUUUUGUGAGGAAGGUCUAAGGGGUGAAACCUGUCUAGAAUCAAAAGUCAUAUGAUCUGUAGCACCAGAAUCAAUUAUCCAUGCACUAUUAAUAACAGGUGUAAAAGUAUUUAAAAACUUACCACCAUGAUCUGUAGCGGCUACCAAUGCAGAGGCUUUCUCAGCAACAUUAACCUCUGUUUUUAUUUCGGCAACAGUUGCAAUCGAGGUUUUCUUGGAAUCCUUCUUCCGUUGAUCACGAUUAUUAUCAUUAAUAAACAAAGUGUUGAUAGCCCUAACAUGAUCUAAAGGUCCAUNNNNNNNNNNNNNNNNNNNNNNNNNNNNNNNNNNNNNNNNNNNNNNNNNNNNNNNNNNNNNNNNNNNNNNNNNNNNNNNNNNNNNNNNNNNNNNNNNNNNAAAGGUCCAUGGUCAAACCCUCGGUUCCUCAUUGUUUUCCUGGUCAUACCAAGAGUCGUUGCUUUGAAAUUAUGGGAUAUCCAGAUUGGUGGGAUCAAUCGUAUUGCAGUGAGUGCAUUUGAAGGUUGACUUAUCAACAUUAGGGCUUGUCUUAGGAUGGAUGAUCACUGUCGGACUACCAUAGCGACAAAAUAUUCAGGAUUUCAGUUUCAUGGCUCUGAUACCAUCUUCAAAUUGAUAAAUGGUAGUUUUUUCCAUUCAUACUUUCAUUCGUUCAUGUACAAGAGAAUAUAUAGAGGGUAAUCACCAUUCUAAGAAUGGGAAGGAAUGAUACAAGGAAAGAAUGAUAUAAGGAAAUAACAACUAAUAUCCUAAUAUUUCAAUAUUCCUAAUAUCUCAAUAUUCCUAAUAUCUCAAUAUUCUUAAUAUCUCAACUUUCCUAAUAUUUAAACAUUCCUAAUAUCUCAACACUAAAUAAUAUAAGGAAAGAAUGAUAUACGGAAAGCAUUCCUAAUAUCUCAACACCCACACAAACCAUGUUUUCCAAUGCUGUUCUUUUCCUUGACGAUACAAUAAGUGGGAUGGUAAAAAAGUUUAUUGGAUGUUUGGCUUAACUGCUUUUCAACUUCUUUAUUUGAUUCAUAACAGCAAUCUCAUCAAGCAGAGAAAGGGAGUAUUUUUUCUUUAUUCAAGGAGAUGAUCAAGGAGAGGAAAUUCGAAUGGUUGAAGAUGGAAGAGGGUUCUGGAAAUUGAGUGGAGAUGAGACUCCGAUCUAUGAUUCAGAUGGGAACAUCUUUGCCUUCAAGAUUUAUUGGACGUAUUUAUCAGGAUCGCUUCAGAAACCCAAGAAAACACAUUGGAGAAUGGAAGAAUAUCGACUUCCCCUUCAUUGUUACAUGGACCAUGAUUUCAAGGUGGGUGAAGAAAAUAAAAAGGAAUGACCAACAUAUGCAAUCUCGUUAUUUUUAUUGGUUUUCAUAAAUAUAAAAAUUUCAAUAUCAAAGAGAGUUUCCUCUUUUAUUUUUUUUAAAAUAAAAUGUGAAAGCAUUUUUAGAAAAUAAAAAUUUAAAAAUAUUUUCCAAAUUAAACACAAUUUAUUAUUAUUUUUUUUCAUUUUUCAUUUUUGUAUUCUUGUUUUUUGCAGGGAGAAAAAUUGGUAUUGGGAAGAAUCAAACGAAGCAAAGAUUAUAUUUCUUGGUUGUAAUUAUUAGGGAACAUGAUAUGUAUAUUGAAUUCAAAUUCUGUAGGCUUAAGUUUUUAGGAAAAUUAGUAGUUCAACGUGGUAUGAGAGCUAGGGAACAUGAUAUGUAUAUUGAAUUCAAAUUCUGUAAGCUUAAGCUUUUAGGAAAAUUAGUAGUUCAACGUGGUAUGAGAGCUUGAUUUAGUGAAAAGUCUUGUAUUCGAGCUGUCUCUUUAGAAUUCACAUUUUCCCAUAUGAAUCUAAAUUACCAAAAUCAUGUAAACUUAAACUUAUAUAGGAAAAUGAGUAGUUCAACAACAAAGUUUAUUUUAUUUUUUAGAAAAAUUGGUAGUUUAAUAUUAAAGUUUAUUUUAUUUUAUUUUUAUGUUAUUCUUUUGAUAAUGGGAUUUAAUUUAUUUAAGAUUAAAUUUAUGUUUGCAAAGUUGAAAUUAUUUAGUAAUUUAUGCACAACACUUAUUCUUCUAUUUUCUUGAUUCUUGAUCGAUUAUUUUCAUGUUGAAAUAACAUGUUGUAAAUUUUUUGAAAAAAUAUCAAUUAAAAAAAUGGUUAAUUUCGAGGACAUUGAAUUAAUUUUUAUAAUAAAAUUUAAAAUGAUUUCCUAUAAAUUUUAAAUUAGUUUUAUUAAAUAAAUGUUAAAAUUAAAAAAAAAAUGUUUAUUUUUUAUCUUGAAUUUUAACCUCAAUCUUCUCUAGUUUGAAAAUCAUUUUAUAGUAAAGACAACAAAAAGCAUAAAAAAUAAAUAAAUUUCUUAUUUUAAAAAAAUAAAUGAUUAAAUUAAAUUUCAAAUUAAUUUAAUAUAAAAUAGUAAUUGUUUUUACGCUUGAAAGUUUUUAUUUCACUUAAUUAUAAAUAAUAAAAAUGAGAGUAUUCUUUAAUCUAGAAAAGGAUAGAAAAUUUAUCCUUCUAAUGAGAUGAUAGUGUAAUGAUUAUAUUAUUUUAAAUUAUACAUAUACAUCACUUAAGAAAUUAAACAAAAUAUAUCAUUUUGAUAGUAAAUAGAAAUAAAUUUAAGAAAAAAAUUAUUUUCUAAUAAUUUUAAAUUUUAUCUUAAAAUAAAUUAAAAGAAUUCAAUUUUUCUAUUCACCUUUUAUAAGAAAUUAAAAUUUUAGUUUUCCAUAUUUCAUAUAUUUUUUUUAAAUGAAAAGAACCUUUACAAAUAAAUUGAUAAAUAAAAAAAUUAAUUUUAAGUCAAUGGAUGAUAAUUUUUUUUCCUUCAUUUUUUAAGUUUAUUUUCAUAAAAUCACAUGACUUAAUUGAUAUUCUUAAACUUGACUAAAAAUUUAACACUUGGUUUUUAAUUUCCUAUAGAUUAAAAAUACAAAUAUAAAUAGAAAUUUUUUUAAGUGAACUGAAAUCAAUAAUUUAUUUAUUUUCAUUCAAUUUUUAAUUAUAGUAAAGAUAAAGUAAUUAUAUUGGAAAUUAAUAAGUGCAUAAAUUUAUAAAUAUUUUCAAAUUUGUGGAUAUAAAUUUUAUUUUUCCAUGUUAUUAAAUCUAUCUAUUUAUGUUAUAUUCUCUCUACAAAAGAUUUUCUUCACUCUCGAUUAUUUGACAUUUUAAAAAAUUUAAUUAAAUAAAAAUCAUUUUGAAAUUUCUAGAAAUUUAAUUAAAUAAAUAUCUAUUUCAUAUAUUGCUUUUGCAAUUGAUAUUGAGACAUGAAUUUUAGCCUUUAAGAAACUUUCCCAAACAAAGCGUUAAGUUCAUUAAAGCAUCAAAAAAUUAACGCUUGGCAUGGAAUAAGCACUUUUCGGUACUACCAUACUGAAUAUUUUCCAGGGUCUUUGCUUUGGAAAUGGCUUUAAUCAAUCCUUGAAAGUUGGAUCACAUAAUAUCUUGUGUCAAAUCCAGCGCUCCUCAACAAUCUUCAUUUUGAAAACAAUCACAUUUUCACAAUGAAACUCUAUGGAAAAAUUUCUUUUCUAGCUCCUUUAUUAUGAUUUUUGCAGUAACAAACUUUUUUUUUGCUCUUUCUCUUUGUCAGUGAGUUAGACCAUAAAGUUUCGAUUCAUAAUUUUGUUCCAAACAUUAUAUGAUCCACAUGAUGCAUUUUUUGAGACUAAUUUUGAUACAACUUUUAAUGCUAGUAUUCAUCCAAACAAACUCAUUCAUAUUUACUUGAACGAUCUUAAAUAUGAUCCUCAAACUAAAAAACCAAAUUUGCAUAAUAGCAGGUGCUUAACACCUCUGGUGAGUGCUUAACACCCCUGGGGAGUGCUCAAGUGUUCAAGACUAAUUUUAUAUUUUUUUGUCAUUUUUAUUUUUUUUAUUUUUAUUUUGUUAUCGAUUUGGCUUGCUAGAGUUCAAAUACACCCUUUUUUUUUUUCAAUAAUUUUUGAAUGUUUUAAAUAUGCUCUAGAACAAUAUUGUCCUUAUUCCCAUUGAGGCUCCAAGAACCUCAUUCUUGAUAUAGAUUUGUUGGUGGUGGUGGUUGACUACAUCCCAUUGAGGCUUUAAGGAGUUCACAAUGGAGCACACUGUGUUGUGUUGGCUCCAAGAACCUCAUUCUUGAACCUCAUUCCAAGAACCUCAUUUCCCAAAGAGAGGAUGGCCGGGCUGCCCCCACUUUCAGUCCCCAUUUUCCCCCCAUUUUUUCUUCUUCAGUUUUUCUAACAGAGACACGGCAGCCCAGCCCCGAAUUUUUUUCUCUCUUUUCCCCCUCUCUGCAACUCCACUUCGAUUCAGAGCAGCGCCCAGGGAUUCACUUCUUUUUUAUUUUUUAUUUUUCAUCAUUCCAUUCACUCCACUACACCUCACCGGCCGAACACCCCUUCAUUUCUUUCCCAUUUUUUUUUUCCUUUCAUUCUCCAUUUUUUUUCCUUAUUUUCUUUAUUAUUAUUAUUAUUUUCAAAAACUCAACCCCUCACCGCCGUCGGGACACCGAUCAGUCGCCACCGGCGAGCCACUGCCGGUCGGUGAUCCCCUUCCCAUCUCACCCUUUCCAUUACUAUUAUUAUUAUUAUUAUUAUUAUAUUAUUAUUAUUAUUAUUAUUAUUAUUAUUAUUAUUAUUAUUAUUCAUUUUUCUCGAUUUGAUUAUAAUAGUAAUUGUUGUUUAUGAUACUUGAAUUGUUGAAUUAAUACAAAAUUUGAGUUAAUUUGUUGGUGGUGAAUUAAUAUGAAACUUGGGCUAUUUUUGUUUUUGCAUGGACUCGUUCUGCGAACUUGUUGGCUGAGUAUAAAUUUAUGACACGUGAAGCACGGAAUUUCAUGGAACAAAGUGAGACUCGAAAAGCUGUAAAUGGAGCAUUAAACUUAUUGUAAGCCUAUUGGGGUACAUAUUUGAUUUCUCAUUUAUAUUCAGUUUUAUUUUUAUUGAUUUCUGUAAAUAUUUAUCUAUGUAUAUUUACUUGUGUGUACAGAAUUGAAUAUUGAACAAACUAGAAAUUUUGUUUAAAUGAGAGGAAGAAUUCAGUAAAUGUGUUUUGAUGAAACAAUAAUUUUAAAAUAUUAUUUUUAAUAAAAGAAAGUUUUUUUUUAUUAUUUAUAAAAAUUCAGAAAAAUGCAUUUAGAAAAAUCCAAAAAAUUGUUUUUAAUAGAAUUUGAAAUUUUUUUUAAUGACAUUGUCCAAAAAUUUUUUUGUUUAAUAAAAAUUGUCCAAAAAUUGUUUUGUAAAUAAAGUUGUCCCAAAAAUUAAUUUUUAAUAAAAUUGUCUAAAAAUAUUUUUUCAAAUGAAUUCUUUUUCUUUAAUUAAAAUGGGAUUAAAAGUGUUUUUCAGAUAUAGAAGAUUUAAAUAUUUGUUUUUCUUUUUAAUUAAAAUUUCUUUUGCAAAUAAAGUUAUAUCAUUUUAAAUAAUUUGUAAAAAUCACUCUUUUAAAUGAAAAUAAAUCUAAAUACUUUUGUAAAUAAAAUUGUAAAAAUUCAUUAUUUUCUAGUAAAAGUAACUAAAAAUAAUUUUUGUGCCCAAAUUGAAAUUUUGUAAUAAAUUCUUUUGAUACUAAGUGUAAAUAACUUUUUUUGAAAAUUGAAUAUAAACGAAGUUGAGAAAAUAAAUUGAUUCUUUUUUUGUAAGAAAAUAAUUUAAAAUCAUUAAUUUAAAAUCAUUUUUAAUAAAAUCCUUUGAAAUUUCUUUAAAACUUUUUAAAAUAUCUUUUAUUUAUUUAAUUCAAUAAAUCAUUCUGUAUAAUUCUCUCAUUAUUUAUUUUGUGUAUUUUCGUAAUUAGAUUUCAUCAUUAUUUGUGUAUAUUGCUUUUCACUAUGACUUGUACAUGCUCAUUUGCUUGAUUAUUAAUUUUGGUAUCCAUGAUUAAUUAGUUAAUUGUCACCAUUACUUCAUUUUAUUAGUAGAGACCCGAUUUUAGGGAUUUAGAGGGGUGUUGCGGUCUUUACUGUACCUUCCCGAUAAGUAACCUGACCCCCGAACUUGAUCCGGUUUUUCACAGAUCACCUUUUCCAAAAUAAAGAGUCACACUUAGGGUUUUUAUUUCUUAUUUUGUUUUCCCUUUAAAAAAAUUAAAAUAAGUGACGACUCCAAGUCUUUUUUCUAAGAAUCAAAUUUUAUCAAAUAAAACAAAAAGCGAGUUUCGCUAUCGAGUAGGAACGCAUGAGUCGAAAAUACAGGGUCCACAAAGACCCUUGAGAGAAUAUAGGGUUUGAUUUAUGUAAACUUGUGUAUUUGAUCUUUCAUAUUUAUUGAAUUUGCUUAAUUUGUAGUCGAUUAGACUUAUGAUUUUUACCUCAAUAGUGUUUUUUUAUUUUUUAUUUUAUGUAUAUUGGUAUGUUUGGUAAUUAUUUUCAAGAACAUUUUUCUUUUUUUUUAGAGCAAAAAAAAAAAAAAAAACAUGUCUCAUAACCAACAAGCUAUUUUCUAUUUUUUGUUCUUAAAAACAAAACACAAAGUAUUUUCAGAAAAUAAUAUAUUUUAGUUGUUUUCACUUAUUUUCACUUGUUUUCUAGAACCGUUUUGAAGAAUAAUUAUACAAACAUGUAAAAUGAUAAAAAAAUAAAAUACUAGAUAUAAAAAUUAUUUUUAAAAAUAUUAAAACAAAUUGAAAACAUUUUAGAUUUCUAGAUAGACUUUUGUUUUACAAAACAUAGAAAAUAGUUUUCAAAAACUGAUUUUCAGAAUUAUUUUUGAAAACAGUCACCAAAUAUGGCAUAUUAUGCCUUUUGUGCAACUAAAAUUCAUUUUAAUAUCUAUAAAAUGUUAUUUGUGAAAAAUUUGAAAUUUAAGACAUCAAAUCAUGGUUACCUAUUCACUCUUGUGUUAAUUUUAGGAAUCAAGAUUUGUACUUUCAAUCGGUAUCAAAGCAUAUUGAAGUUAAAAAAUUAAAUUUUUUAUUCUUGUAUAAUUGUUAUCUAUAUAUCUUAUAUUAAUUAAAGAAAAUAUUAUUUUUAAAAAAUUUGAAAUUUAAGACAUAAAAUGAUGACUACUUAUUCAAUCUCAUGGUAAUUUCAGGAAUUAAGAUUCAUACUCUCAAUUAUUAUCAAACCAUAUUAAAGUUAAAAAAUUAAACUAUUUAUUCCUACAUAAUAGUUGUUCGAUGGAACCACAAAGAGUACAUCAUCUAUAAAAUUUUUAUCAUGGUUUGUCUCAACAAUCUCCGUACCUAAUUUUCUUAGAAUAUACUUUAUAAGAGUAGGACAACAACUCGAGUGGGUUGGGUUGAGUUCAUGGCUAAUCCCACAUCAACCUAUUUCAAUGGGAGAUUGAUUCAACACAUUUGAAUAUAGUAACAUUGGGAAACAUCUUCAUUGUUUCAGUGCUUCAACAAAGGUUUGGAAAUUCUUGUAAGAAGAUCCACCUUCAAUCACACUUUUUCUAGCCAUUUCCUUCAACUUCUCUGCAUUUGCUUUUAUACCAUCAUCAGAAACCAACAUUUCGAUCUUCUUCUUAAUCUCAUGCCUUGAUAUGAAUCCAUUUUCAUCUGGGUUCAACCCCAAGCCCACCUUCCAUUUGUCGCAUAUGUAACUCUGGUUAUGGAAUUGAUCUGCAAAGUAAGGCCAGCAUAGGAAGGGGACUCCCAUGCCUAUGCCGUCCAUGGUUGAGUUCCAUCCACAAUGGGAUAAGAAACAUGCAACAGAAGGGUGAGCUAACACCUUUUCUUGGGGUGCCCAUGAAACAAUCUUUCCAUGCUCAGCUACUCUCUCUAUGAAACCAUCUGGGUAUUCAGCAGCUGAUCCAUUGGUGAAGUCUGAUCGGACAACCCAUAAAAAUGGCCGGCCUACAAGUUCAAUACCCAGUGCUAGUUCAUUGAAUUGGUUCUGGCUUAAGAUUGCUACGCUUCCAAAGGCAACAUAAAUGACUGAGCCAGCAGGUUGCUUAUCGAGCCAGCUUAUGCAAGUUGAAUCCUCAGGCCAAAAGUUUCCAGUAUAAUGACCCAGAUGAUUACUUGCAAGUAACGGGCCUAUUGGUAAUAUGUUGGGAAUCAAGUCACAAGCAGAUGAAUCAAGUUCGUAAACAGAGUUGCAAAGAAGCCAAUUGGAAAGAUUCAUAGCUGAGAUGUCUUUGAAAGCAAAUUGGAAAAUGACCUUUUGUAAGUUUGGAUCACUUGGGCAGCUCCAGGGCAAUUUGUUGCUGCUAAAGGCUGGGAUAUCCUUUGCCAGGGAGAUCAACUCGUCGUUCAAAAGAGAUCCUGCAAAGAUAUUACAAUUAUUAAUUUCCAUCAAAACCAAGAAAAUACUUAGCUACUUCCCCCGAUUUUUAUUGAAUUUUCAGGGGCUAUUAGCUUUAGUCUCUAACUUGUUUUCAAUUACUAGAACCUUCAUGUUUCAACAAAUUUAAUUUUAGAAAUAUGAUAUGUGCAAGUUGAAGUGUUAAUACCAUCAAUACCAUUUACAUGUCCGGCCUCAAUAAGCCUUGGAAUGUGAAAUAACAAAGCCAAGCUUCCUGGUCCACAGGGGCAAAACGCAACGCUCUUGAUCCCCAUCUUCUCGGCAACCUCUAGCGCCCACCCAACUGUUGUAUCAGCAAUAACACAAGUGAUCUUCUCAUCAUCAUUCGAGUUGUUAACCUUCUCAAUCAACUCCUUCAAAUGACCCGGCAUGACUCUUAACAUACUGUCUGUCGACUUGAGUAAAUCUUUUCGAUCCUCCCCUGGACCCAGUCCAUCUGGGAUCGAGGCUAGCCCUAUCCGACUCUGAGCCUCAUCCUCAUCUGGCAGUGCAGCCACCAGUUUUUCAUGUAUGAAGUCUGAGUUAACAAAGGUGACCUUGAUCCCAUGAUCAGAAAUCUGGUACGCAAACUUCAUAAGGGGAGUAACAUGUCCUUGUGCUGGGCAUGGAAUAAUCAGCACAUGAGGUCGGCCCAUGGUUGCUGCCAGCACUUCUGCUUCCUCUGAUCCCAAGUUUCAGGAUUAAUACUGCUUCUCUUUAUUAGCCUGAGCCCUCUAUUGUGUGAAUCGUAUACCUAUUUGCUAAAAUUUUAGCUGCAGCCCAUCUCCCAUUUAUGAAUUUCAUUCAUUAUCUGAAAGAUAUGGUGUUGUUGCUUUUAUCUCCUAUCUAUUCUGUCUUUAUCAAGUGUCUUGUGUAAUGGCCCAAACCCAAGGGUAAAAUCAUAAUUUAGAAAUUAUUAAUUAAUUAAAGUAAUUUAAUAAGGGUAAAAAGGUAUUUUCGUAUUAAAAACCCCUAUAUAUAAAUUAUAUCUUUCCUAUAUUCUCAAUUUAGAAAACUCUCUUACACAGAGAUCAAAAAGAUCAGAGAGCAUAGGGUUGAAGGUUUGAAAGUUUAGGGUUUGAAGAUCAAUUUUUAGGUACUUUCAAUUCGGGUGAAGAGUGAUGGCUAGGCUUGAGAAUUUUUCUUAGGAUUUUGGUUCAAAUUUUAUUUUGGACAUUGUUUAGAUGUCAAAAUUUAUUUUUUCGUUUAAAUUAUUUAAAUUUGGAGUUAUUUGGACAAUAACACUUUGAUUGAUGUGUUAAUUUUUUAAAAGUUGAUACUUGGAGAUUUUAGAAUUUUGUCCUAUUACUCUAAAUAAGAAUUUGGUAAUUGGUAAAUUUUCAAUUACAAUACGAAAGUUUGUGUCGUUUUCACUUUGAGCCUUUGGGUUUGAGGUGUGAAAUGACUGUCAUGCCUUUCGAGUGGGUUUUGGGGCGUGACAUCUUGUGUGUCUCUCCCGUUACUUUGGUGUAAUUUUAAAGCUAUAUAGCCUAUAUUGCACUGAUAAACUUUUGGUUUCUACAUUACACACUCCAUAUAUGCAUUAAACUUUUUGUUAGUGCAGCCAUUGGAUUGUAGUCAUUUUUUCUACUUGGUUUUUCCACCAAGUUAUUGAUACCCUAUGGAUUUAUUCUCAAGUGCUUCAAGGUAUAUUAUCUGAAGUUACCAUUGGUUGUUUGCUUUGUCUUUUAUCUAGAACCUCAUAUGUAGCUAGCCUCUUUUUGUUGUUGCAUGAUUGGUUUGAGCUCUUCCUUCUUAUCCCAUGUGUUUGUUGACCAAGCUUGUAUUGAUGUUGAACCUGAUUGAUGCUACUAGCAAGGGAAAUGAAAUUGAAAUAUAUAUUCUUUCUCAAUGUUUUAAAUAAAAAUUAUGUUUCAUUCAAAUAUUUCAAUUUAAAAAAUCAAAAUUUUCUUGUCUUAAACAAUAUUCAUUAUCAAAAUAUUUAAAAUUUUGUUAUAUUAUAUUAUUUAAUAUAUGAAAAUAAUUUAUAUAUAUAUGUGUGUGUCCUAUAUGUUAACUUAGGAUUUAACAUAUUCUAUAUGGAAGAUAUAUAAAAAAGAGAUCAAACAAUAUAUCACAAUACUUAUCCUAUAUCAUAUUUGGUUGAACAUAAGAAAAGAUAAAUUAUAAAAUAACUUAUCCUAUCCUAUUACUAAUUAAAUAUGGGAUAAGAUAUAUUAUCUUAUUUUUUAUCUUAUCUCAUACUAUAUCUAAUUAAUUAAAUAUAGUCCAAAUAUAAAUUGUUUUGUGGGUGAUUCUAAUCAUCUUGAUCAUAAAAACUACCAAAAAGGUCGUGACAAAAAGAAAGAAGAUUCAUAGGCUUAUCCAAUAACAAGUAUUAAUAUUCAUUUUCAUAGAGACGUGUUCAAAUCAUCUAAGGCCAAAUUAGAGAUAAAUAAAUAUUGUAAAUUUUGUCAUAAUUAAUUGAAUACAUUUUUUUUUCUAUAAUAAUAAAAUGAGUUCAUUGAAUAGAGAAACAAAAACAAACAUGUUUCCAAUGAACCUAUGCUCAAAUCUUUCCAAAAUUUAAAAUAUAGAAUAUAUUAAAAUGCUAUGGUCUCUUCUCUGCACUCCACUACAUGAUAUAUUUUCAUUUAUUUAUUUAUUUGGAUAAACUUGCUUGAUCCAACUCAUUUACAUCUUUGAUUCAAAUGUGGGAGUCGGUCAGGGCCCCGGAGGGGCACAUGCCCCCCUUAAAAAAAUAAAAUCAUAAUAAUUUAAGCCAUUGACUUACUAUUUGAGGAGAAAACAUGCUUUUCAAUGCACUAUAUAUCAUAAUUUUUUAUAAUAUGAACAAUAUAAAAAAAUAAAAGAUUGUGAUGUAUUCAAGUAUUGAAAUACCACUAGAAACCAAGGUUUAAAUUUGAGUUUUGGACUUUGAAAUUUAUGAAAAUGGGGUCAAGCAGAAGAAAGAUUUUUGGUAGCCAACCAAGGCAGAAUCAGUUUCUUUGGCUGCUUCAUCUUUCAUUUAUUUCCUUUUCCCAUUAAAUUAUUAUUAAUUAUCUAACAACUUAUGUUGAAUAAUGAAGGGCUGCCCCCACUCUUAAUUACAAUACAAAAUUGGUAGUUGUUUUUAAAUAUUUAGCAUAUAUCACUCUCAAAUGCUUCUACAUAAUAAUAUCACCUUAAUAAUAUCACUCUCAAAUGCUUCUACAUAAUUCCCAAAUACUUUAGCAUAUAUUCUAGCUAGGGAAGUGAUCUCUAGUUUUUUUUUUGUCCUUUAUGGAAGGUCUUAUGCAGCCAACCUCGUUUUCUAGUUGUAUGGCUUUUAGUUCUUGGUUCUUUUCCCAUGUAUUGGUCUUUUUCUCAAUCUUAUAUGCCUUCAAACGAUCCCAUUUUCCUCUGGGUUCAGCCCUAAACCCACCUUUAUACAUCACAGAUACGGAAGUGGACGCCAAGGUAAGGACAAACCUUCACCAUUCGGUUCCAAGCAGAGUGGAUUAAGAAACCAGCAAGGACAAACCCUUGGCUUUGAUUCACUCAGCCGGUGGCAGAGCCAAUAAUUUUUCUUAGAACAAGCAUUACAAUAACCCUGGAUGAAUUUUAGAAAUUGCUGAAAAUGAGUAACUUUAGACUUUAGUCAUGAAUAAAUAUAACAUAUCAAAUUAAAAAUUAAAAAUAGAUUUUAUUAACUUACUAGUUAAAAAUUGAAAUUUAAAAAGAAAAUCUUCAAAAAAGUUAAAAAAUGGGAAGAAAAUAAGAAAUCUUACUAGUUAUUUCUCAAUAAUUUUAAUAAUCUCUUCCUAGUAAAAAGGAUCUUUAAAAAAUUUAUUUUUUUUCCAAAUAGCUACAUACAAAUGAGUUGGAAGUAAUAAAAUAUUUUAUUAAUAAUUUCCUAUGAUAUAGUAAUUAUCGUUAAAAUUCCAAGUAAAAUAUAAAUAGUUAGUUAGAGUUUGAUAUUUAUUAUUAUGUAUUAAGGUACCCUAUUCUAACAAAAUUCUAGAGCACCCAAGAGGUAUUGUUUGGAAGAUUUACUAGUAAUCAUUGGAUUUUUUAUUUCAAUCUUCAUAAAGUAAUAGCAAGAACCAAAACUAAUUAAAAGAACUUGAUUAUAAGGUUUUGGUUAACAAUUUUUUUUCCAAAUAUUAUGAGGUCUACGCUAUAUAUUUUUUGAGAUUUACAUUGACCUUUGAAGAUUUGAGAUUAUCAUGAAAUCACAUUUAAAACCAUUCAAGUACAAUUGAAUUUGUUUGGGUGAAUAAUAACAUUAGAGGAUGUACUUCGAGUUUAUUGUAUGAUGAAACUCUUUUGAGCGGAAAAAAAAAACCAAUUUUGCACAUGAGUGCAUGCUUGAGACUAUUUCUGUAUAUAUUUGUCAUUUUUUAUUUGUGUUAUUGGUUGAGCUUACCAAGGUUUUCAAAGUAUAAAUAUACCUUAUUUUGUCAAAUAUUUUAAAUACAUACCAGAACAAUAUUAUCAUUAUUUCCUACACAUUUCCAUCACUUUCAAGAAUAUCAUUCUUGACACAAAUUUGUGCAUGGUGGUUAAUUAUACAUCCUAUCAAGGCAUUGAGGAGUUUACAAAAGAACAUAAUGUGUUGUAUAUAUAGAGGUGAAGACAUAUGUAAGUGCCAGCCCCUGACCUAGGAAAAUAGAAUGUUUGUUUCAUAUAAAUUUAUGUAUUUGCUCUUUCGUAUUUAAUGAAUUUACUUUGUUAGUGUCAAAUUGGGUCUGUGUUUGAUAUUUGUCGAGUUUUUAGUAGAAUGUAUGAGUGAUAUAUUUAUAGAGCUUAUAGUAAACUCUAUGGGUGAUUUUCUAUGUCUAAUACAUAUCUUUUGUGCGAUUGGAAAUCAUGCAUGUUAAUAUCAAAAUAUCUCAUAUUAAUUCAAGAAAUAUUUUUUGUGAAAAAAUUGAACUUUAAAACAUAAAAUCAUUAUUACAUAUUCACCCUCCAUAAAUAUCGGGAAUCAAGAUUCAUACUUUCAAUGGGUAUCAAAGCAUAUUGAAUUUAAAAAAUUAAAAUCUUUUAUUCCUACACAAUCUUGAUUCACGGAACCACAAGGACCAGAUCAUCAAUGAAAUUUUAUCAUUGCUUUAGUACUCGACAAUUUCUGUGGGUAGGAAUACAACUUGAGUAGGUUGGGUUGGGUUGGGUUGAUGGCGAUUUAACACAUUUGGGUUGGGUAGGAAAAUGUCUUCAUUGUUUCAGUGCUUCAACAAAGGUUUGGAAAUUCUUGUAAGAAGAUCCACCUUCAAUCACACUUUUUCUAGCCAUUUCCUUCAACUUCUCUGCAUUUGCUUUUAUACCAUCAUCAGAAACCAACUUUUCGAUCUUCUUCUUAAUCUCAUGCCUUGAUAUGAAUCCAUUUUCAUCUGGGUUCAACCCCAAGCCCACCUUCCAUUUGUCGCAUAUGUAACUCUGAUUAUGGAAUUGAUCUGCAAAGUAGGGCCAGCAUAGGAAGGGGACUCCCAUGCCUAUGGCGUCCAUGGUUGAGUUCCAUCCACAAUGGGAUAAGAAACAGGCAACAGAAGGGUGAGCUAACACCUUUUCUUGGGGUGCCCAUGAAACAAUCUUUCCAUUCUCAGCAACUCUCUCUAUGAAAUCAGGGUAUUCAGCAACUGAUCCAUCGGCGAAGUCUGAUCGGACAACCCAUAAAAAUGGCCGGCCUACAAGUUCGAGACCAAGUGCUAGUUCAUUGAAUUGGCGCUGGUUGAAGAUUGCUAAGCUGCCAAAGGCAACAUAAAUGACUGAGCCAGCAGGUUGUUUAUCGAGCCAGCCUAUGCAGGUCGAAUCCUCAUGCCAAAAGUUUCCAGCAUAAUGACCCAGAUGAUGACUUGCAAGCAAUGGACCUAUUGAUAAUAUGUUAGGAAUCAACUCACAGGCAGAUGAGUCAAGUUCGUAAACAGAGUUGCUAAGAAGCCAAUUGGAAAGAUUCAUAACUUGGAUGGCUUUGAAAGCAAGUCGGAAACAGAUCUCUUGUAAAGUUGGAUCAGUUGGGCAGCUCCAGGGCAAUCUGUUGCUGAUAAAGGCUGGGAUAUCCUUUGCCAGGCAGAUAAACUCGUGGUUCAGAAGAGAUCCUGCAAAGAUGUUUCAAUUUUAAUUGAAUUUUCAGGGGCUAUUAGCUUUAGUCUCUUAACUUGUUUUCAAUUACUAGAAAUCUUCAUGUUUCAUCAAUUUGGUAUAAGCAACAGAUUUAAUUUUAGAAAUAUGAUAUGUGCAAGUUUAAGUGUUAAUACCAUCAGUAGUAUUUAGAAGUCCGGCCUCAAUAAGCCUUGGAAUGUGAAAUGCCAAAGCCAAGCUUCCUGGUCCAAAGGGGCAAAACGCGACCCUCUUGAUCCCCAUCUUGUCGGCAACCUCUAGCGCCCACCCAAAUGCUGAAUCAGCAAUAACACAAGUGAUCUUCUCAUCAUCAUUCGAGUUGUUAACCUUCUCAAUCAACUCCUUCAAAUGACCCGGCAUGACUCUUAAAAUACUGUCUGUCAGCUUGAGUGAAUCUUUUCGAUCCUCCCCUGGACCCAGUCCAUCUGGGAUCGAGGCUAGCCCUAUCCGACUCCGAGCCUCAUCCUCAUCUGGCAGUGCAGCCACCAGUUUUUCAUGUAUGAAGUCUGAGUUAACAAAGGUGACCUUGAUCCCGUGAUCAGAAAUCUGGUACGCAAACUUCAUAAAGGGAGUAACAUGUCCUUGUGCUGGGAAUGGAAUAAUCAGCACAUGAGGUCGGCCCAUGGUUGCUGCCAGCACUUCUGCUUCCUCUGAUCCCAAGUUUCAGGAUUAAUACUGCUUCUCUUUAUUAGCCUGAGCCCUCUAUUGUGUGAAUCGUAUACCUAUUUGCUAAAAUUUUAGCUGCAGCCCAUCUCCUAUUUAUGAGUUCCAUACGUCAUCUGAAAGAUAUGGUGUUGUGGCUCAAGUUCUUUGUCACUUUGGUUUUAUCUUCUAUCUAUUUUGUCUUGAUGAAGCAUCUUGUGUGGCUCUCCCGUCACUUUGGUGUAGCUUUGAACCUAUAUUGCACUGAUAAACUUUUGGUUUCUGCAUUACAAACUCCAUAUAUGCAAUAAACUUUUUGUUGGUGCAGUCAUUGGAUUGUAGCCAUUUUUCC
rnacentral:lncRNA from 1 species